GCCUCAGUAGCUCAGUUGGCUAGAGCAUCUGUUUUGUAAACAGAGGGUCGGGGGUUCAAAUCCCUCCUGAGGCU
rnacentral:tRNA from 1 species